rnacentral:rRNA from 1 species
CUCCGGCUGGUGAGCGCCCGCCAAAGAAUCCCAAAACUCUGAAUAUUUGUGUCGUCUGAGUACUAUAUAAUAGUUAAAACUUUCAACAACGGAUCUCUUGGUUCUGGCAUCGAUGAAGAACGCAGCGAAAUGCGAUAAGUAAUGUGAAUUGCAGAAUUCAGUGAAUCAUCGAAUCUUUGAACGCACAUUGCGCCCCUUGGUAUUCCGAGGGGCAUGCCCGUUCGAGCGUCAUUAUAACCCCUCAAGCCUAGCUUGGUGUUGGGGCCUGCUGUUACCGGCAGCCCUUAAAAUCAGUGGCGGUGCCAUCUGGCUCUAAGCGUAGUAAUACUUCUCGCUACAGGGUCCUGGUGGAUACUUGCCAUCAACCCCUAAAUUUCUAUGGUUGACCUCGGAUCGGGUAGGGAUACCCGCUGAACUUAAGCAUAUCAAUAAGCGGAGGAAAAGAAACCAACAGGGAUUGCCUUAGUAACGGCGAGUGAAGCGGCAACAGCUCAAAUUUGAAAUCUGGCUCUUUCAGAGUCCGAGUUGUAAUUUGUAGAAGAUGCUUCGAGUGUGGUACCGGUCUAAGUUCCUUGGAACAGGACGUCAUAGAGGGUGAGAAUCCCGUAUGUGACUGGUCACCUUCGCUCAUGUGAAGCUCUUUCGACGAGUCGAGUUGUUUGGGAAUGCAGCUCAAAAUGGGUGGUAAAUUUCAUCUAAAGCUAAAUAUUGGCCAGAGACCGAUAGCGCACAAGUAGAGUGAUCGAAAGAUGAAAAGCACUUUGGAAAGAGAGUUAAACAGUACGUGAAAUUGUUGAAAGGGAAGCGCUUGCAACCAGACUUGCACGUAGUUAAUCAUCCGGGGUUCUCCCCGGUGCACUUGGCUACGUUCAGGCCAGCAUCGGUUUUGGUGGUUGGAUAAAGGCCUA